GAUGAACGCUGGCGGCGUGCCUAAUACAUGCAAGUCGAGCGAACGGACGAGAAGCUUGCUUCUCUGAUGUUAGCGGCGGACGGGUGAGUAACACGUGGAUAACCUACCUAUAAGACUGGGAUAACUUCGGGAAACCGGAGCUAAUACCGGAUAAUAUUUUGAACCGCAUGGUUCAAAAGUGAAAGACGGUCUUGCUGUCACUUAUAGAUGGAUCCGCGCUGCAUUAGCUAGUUGGUAAGGUAACGGCUUACCAAGGCAACGAUGCAUAGCCGACCUGAGAGGGUGAUCGGCCACACUGGAACUGAGACACGGUCCAGACUCCUACGGGGGGCAGCAGUAGGGAAUCUUCCGCAAUGGGCGAAAGCCUGACGGAGCAACGCCGCGUGAGUGAUGAAGGUCUUCGGAUCGUAAAACUCUGUUAGUAGGGAAGAACAUAUGUGUAAGUAACUGUGCACAUCUUGACGGUACCUAAUCAGAAAGCCACGGCUAACUACGUG
rnacentral:rRNA from 1 species